GAUGUUAACGCUGUACACGGCGCCAUGAGGGUCCUCACAGAAUUUACCCGAGAGGUGACUGAUGUUCAGAUGCCGGAUGUUGCACCUGUCAUUUUGCCUCAAAUGUACAAGAUUUUUACCAUGGCAGAGGUUUACAGUAUUCGCACUCGAUCCAGAGCUGUUGAGAUCUUUACCACGUGUGCUAAUCUCAUCUGUGCGAUUGAUGAAGUAG